rnacentral:rRNA from 1 species
CCCUUAGAUGUUCUGGGCCGCACGCGCGCUACACUGAAGGGAUCAGCGUGUUUUCCCUUUCCGAGAGGAACGGGUAACCCGCUGAACCCCCUUCGUGGUAGGGAUCGGAGCUUGCAAUUGUUCUCCGUGAACCAGGAAUUCCCAGUAAGCGCAAGUCAUAAGCUUGCGUUGAUUACGUCCCUGCCCUUUGUACACACCGCCCGUCGCUACUACCGAUUGAACGUUUUAGUGAGGUAUUUGGACUGGGCCUUGGGAGGUUUCGGCCUCCCUUGUUGCUCGGAAAGACUCCCAAACUUGAGCGUUUAGAGGAAGUAAAAGGCGUAACA